rnacentral:rRNA from 1 species
CCAGAGAAUUUAGCAGAGAUGCUUUAGUGCCUUCGGGAACUCUGAGACAGGUGCUGCAUGGCUGUCGUCAGCUCGUGUUGUGAAAUGUUGGGUUAAGUCCCGCAACGAGCGCAACCCUUAUCCUUUGUUGCCAGCACGUAAUGGUGGGAACUCAAAGGAGACUGCCGGUGAUAAACCGGAGGAGGGUGGGGAUGACGUCAAGUCAUCAUGGCCCUUACGAGUAGGGCUACACACGUGCUACAAUGGCGCAUACAAAGAGAAGCGACCUCGCGAGAGCAAGCGGACCUCAUAAAGUGCGUCGUAGUCCGGAUUGGAGUCUGCAACUCGACUCCAUGAAGUCGGAAUCGCUAGUAAUCGUAAAUCAGAAUGUUACGGUGAAUACGUUCCCGGGCCUUGUACACACCGCCCGUCACAUCAUGGGAGUGGGUUGCAAAAGAAGUAGAUAGCUUAACCUUCGGGAGGGCGUUUACCACUUUGUGAUUCAUGACUGGGGUGAAGUCGUAACAAGGUAAGCGUAGUGCU